AAGAAAACUUCCAUUCCAGAGACUUGUUCGUGAAAUUGCCCAGGACUUCAAGACUGAUUUGCGUUUCCAGAGUCACGCUGUGUUGGCAUUGAAAGAAGCAGCUGAAGCCUACUUGGUUGGUUUGUUUGAGGACACUAACUUGUGUGCCAUCCACGCAAAGCGUGUCACUAUCAUGCCCAAGGAUAUUCAGCUUGCUAGGAGGAUCAGAGGAGAAAGGGCUUGAUCAACCAGUGAUGAUGAUGGUGUCUGGGAGGAUGAUGUGUUUAGUAUAUGGUGUCAGUUUAUUAUACAUGUUUUUUCUUUUGGGUUGUGUUUUCUGGAAGUGCUAGUAGCGAGGAAGAAGAUCUUGAACCUAUAUGACUAUUACGUUAGGUGUUAUUUUGCUGUGGUUCUACACCACUAGUAGAACUUGAAUGACUAUUAUGUUAGGUUUUAUUUUCCAGUGCUUCCACACCAUUAGUAGUGUACAGCUGCUGUUGAGAUUGAGAAGCCUGGGAUUCUUUAUCUUGGUGGUCGUGGUUCUGCUAGUCUCUUGUGCAGCGGUUUGAAGUUUGAACCUUUGUUUCUUAAUAUAAUUCUGUUUGUUAAAUGAUGG